rnacentral:rRNA from 1 species
GAUGAACGCUGGCGGCGUGCCUAAUACAUGCAAGUCGAGCGAACGGACGAGAAGCUUGCUUCUCUGAUGUUAGCGGCGGACGGGUGAGUAACACGUGGAUAACCUACCUAUAAGACUGGGAUAACUUCGGGAAACCGGAGCUAAUACCGGAUAAUAUUUUGAACCGCAUGGUUCAAAAGUGAAAGACGGUCUUGCUGUCACUUAUAGAUGGAUCCGCGCUGCAUUAGCUAGUUGGUAAGGUAACGGCUUACCAAGGCAACGAUGCGUAGCCGACCUGUGAGGGUGAUCGGCCACACUGGAACUGAGACACGGUCCAGACUCCUACGAGAGGCAGCAGUAGGGAAUCUUCCGCAAUGGGCGAAAGCCUGACGGAGCAACGCCGCGUGAGUGAUGAAGGUCUUCGGAUCGUAAAACUCUGUUAUUAGGGAAGAACAUAUGUGUAAGUAACUGUGCACAUCUUGACGGUACCUAAUCAGAAAGCCACGGCUAACUACGUG